AGUAACACGUGGGUAACCUACCUAUAAGACUGGAAUAACUCCGGGAAACCGGGGCUAAUGCCGGAUAACAUUUAGAACCGCAUGGUUCUAAAGUGAAAGAUGGUUUUGCUAUCACUUAUAGAUGGACCCGCGCCGUAUUAGCCAGUUGGUAAGGUAAUGGCUUACCAAGGCAACGAUACGUAGCCGACCUGAGAGGGUGAUCGGCCACACUGGAACUGAGACACGGUCCAGACUCCUAC
rnacentral:rRNA from 1 species